ACACCGUUUGACGAAUGCGAUUGGAGGGCAAGUCUGGUGCCAGCAGCCGCGGUAAUUCCAGCUCCAAUAGUGUAUCUUAAUGUUGUUGCUGUUAAAAAGCUCGUAGUUGAAUUUCUGGCUUUCUAGUUAAGCUCCGGCGAGACAGGAAAGUCAUCCGCGUUGAAAGUACGUAUGCUGAAUAAGCUGCGUGUAGAAGGCGUAUUUUACUUUGAAGAAAUUAGAGUGUUCCAGGCAAGCAAUGCUUGAAUAUUACAGCAUGGAAUAAUGGAAUAGGACUAUCCAUUCUGUUGGUUAAUGGAUCAGUAAUGAUUAACAGGGACAGUUGGGGGCAUUCGUACUGGGCAGUCAGUGGUAAAAUACGAUGACCUGCUCAAGACGCACUAAUGCGAAAGCAUUUGCCAAGGAUGUUUUCAUUAAUCAAGAACGAAAGUUAGGGGAUCAAAGACGAUUAGAUACCGUCGUAGUCCUAACUAUAAACUAUACCAACUAGGGAUUGGCAGGGGAUCGCCCCUGUCAGCACCUAAUGAGAAAUCAAAGUCUUUGGGUUCAGGGGGGAGUAUGGUCGCAAGGCUGAAACUUAAAGGAAUUGACGGAAGGACACUACCAGGAGUGGAGCCUGCGGCUUAAUUUGACUCAACGCGGGGAAACUUACCAGGGCCAGACUCGAGAAUGAUUGACAAUUUGAUAGCUUUUUCUUGAUUAUGAGGAAGGUGGUGCAUGGCCGUUCUUAGUUGGUGGAGUGAUUUGUCCGGUUAAUUCCCUUAACAAACGAGACCUUAACCUGCUAAAUAGGUGCCGCACAUUCGUGGGGUUACCUUCUUAGAGGGACUAUGUGCUAAACACAUGGAAGUUUGAGGCAAUAACAGGUCCGUGAUGCCCUUAGACGUCCUGGGCCGCACGUGUGCUACACUGACUCGCGCAACGAGUGUUUACCUAACCCGAAAGGGGUCGGGAAAUCUUAUUAAUACGAGUCGUGCUAGGGAUAGAUCUUUGCAAUUUUGGAUCUUGAACGAGGAAUUCCUAGUAAGCAUAAGUCAUCAUCUUGUGCUGAUUACGUCCCUGUCCUUUGUACACACCGCCCGUCGCUCCUACCGAUUGAGUGAUCCGGUGAACUUUUUGGACGUUGGCAAUAGCUGAGCGGAAGCUAAGUAAACCUUAU
rnacentral:rRNA from 1 species